AUGCCUGCUCGAGCGUCAUUAUAACCCUCAAGCCUAGCUUGGUGUUGGGGCAUGCUUUUGCAGCCCUUAAAAUCAGUGGCAGUGCCUGUCGGCUCUAAGCGUAGUAAUACUCCUCGCUAUAGACCUCGGUAGAUACGCGCCAGAACCCCAAAUUUUCUAUGGUUGACCUCGGAUCAGGUAGGGAUACCCGCUGGACUUAA
rnacentral:misc_RNA from 1 species